UUUAAGUGCAACCAUAAAUUUUCGUUCCCAAUUUUGAUAAUCCGUCUUAUUUGAAAAUUUUUUUAGUAUUUUUAUUAUUACGAGAUGAUAAAACAUAAAGUAGGACUUAAUACGAAACUUAUGUUUUAAUUUUUUUUUUCAAAAAUUUUUCAAAUUAGACAGACGGUCAAAGUUGUGCACGGAAAAUUAUAGCUGCACCUAAA
rfam:Oryza rufipogon genomic scaffold, chr01